UCAGGCCUAACACAUGCAAGUCGAACGGCAGCAUGGAGGAGCUUGCUCCUCUGAUGGCGAGUGGCGACCGGGUGAGUAAAGCAUCGGAACGUGCCGUGUAGUGGGGGAUAACGUAGCGAAAGUUACGCUAAUCCCGCAUACUCACCGAGGUGGAAAGCAGGGGAUCGCAAGACCUUGCACUAUACGAGCGGCCGAUGUCAGAUUAGCUAGUUGGUAGGGUAAAGGCCUACCAAGGCGACGAUCUGUAGCGGGUCUGAGAGGAUGAUCCGCCACCCUGUGUGUGAGACACGGCCCACACUCCUACGGGAGGCAGCCGGUGGGG
rnacentral:rRNA from 1 species